GAUGAAGAACGCAGUGAAAUGCGAUAAGUAAUGAGAAUUGCAGAAUUCAGUGAAUCAUCGAAUCUUUGAACGCACAUUGCGCCCGUCGGUAUUCUGGCGGGCAUGCCUGUUCGAGCGUCAUUACGCCCCUCAAGUCCCCUGUGGACUUGGUGUUGGGGAUCGGCGAGGCUGGUUUUCCAGCACAGCCGUCCCUUAAAUUAAUUGGCGGUCUCGCCGUGGCCCUCCUCUGCGCAGUAGUAAAACACUCGCAACAGGAGCCCGGCGCGGUCCACUGCCGUAAAACCCCCCAACUUUUUAUAGUUGACCUCGAAUCAGGUAGGACUACCCGCUGAACUUAAGCAUAUCAAUAAGCGGAGGA
rnacentral:misc_RNA from 1 species